UAGGUAUAAAGAUAUAGUACGGCAAG
rnacentral:piRNA from 1 species